ACAGCUAAAGUCGCCCCGCCAUUAAUGUCGCAUUAAAAAGGAAUUAAAAAGGAUAAAGAAACGAAAUAACAGAAAGACAGCCUCGUCGCCACCACCGCUUUCCAGAAACCGUUAAAUCAGAUAUUGGUUAGCAACCGUCGACCAGGGAGGCGAUUGAUCGUCGUCAGCCAUGGAGGUCCGACCCAACCCGACGGCCGACAACUCGUCGGCCAUGCAGCAGCAGCGUCAGCGCCAUACACCCGCUUCUAGUCAGAAAAAGCCGCCUGCUUCUUCCAUCCCCGUCGACACCACCUCCGUUUCUCAAAGGCUUCAGAAGGAGUUGAUGUCUCUCAUGAUGAGUGGAGGAGAUCUUGGAGUAUCGGCUUUUCCUGAAGGUGAGAGCAUUUUUACAUGGGUUGGCACAAUCGAAGGUGGAAAAGGAACUAUGUAUGAGGGUUUUUCCUACAAGCUGUCUUUGCGUUUUCCUCUGGACUAUCCUUUCAAGCCACCGCAAGUCAAGUUUGAGACAAUGUGCUUCCAUCCAAAUGUUGAUCAGUUUGGCAACAUAUGUCUUGAUAUCUUGCAGGACAAGUGGUCUUCAGCUUACGAUUGCAGGACUAUUCUACUCUCCAUUCAAAGUCUGUUGGGAGAACCAAACCCGGAGAGCCCCCUCAACAGCUAUGCUGCUGCUCUGUGGAGUAACAAGGAAGACUUUGUACGCAAUGACCUUCUAGGAUUCAUAUAGCCGACCCCACUUAGUGGGAAAAGGCUUUGCUGUUGUUGUACCUUAUGCAAAUUUACCGUAAGCUAUGAAUGUCGAAACUAAUGUUUCAAACUUGAACAUCAUGGAAUAUGAUGCCAGAUUACAAAAAAAUGGUCCACCGACAGUACUUUGCCGGAGAAUCAAUCGAGAGCUGACUUGUGCAUAUAACUCACGACGGAGGACAACAUUGUCAUGCGGCCCCUGAUUUGUGUACAGCUCCGGGGAGGUGAAAAUUCUGCAAUGAAAAGUGAAGUUUCUCAACGAAUCCGGGGUGAUGGAAACGCUAACCCUGGCCAACCUUGUUUAUAUUGCCUGUCCUCUGUGAUUGCUAAAUAAAGACAAUAAGAAGUUGUAAAUUUGGUUGAAUCAAAUGAAGGUGAAAACUGUUUCUCUAAUGACUGGAGGAGGCACCAUUCCCACAUAUUUUUAGACUUCCAAGUUUCAAAUGGUUGAUGGAUGAUA